UACAGAGGUCUCGAGCGUUGUUCGGAUUCAUUGGGCGUAAAGGGUGCGUAGGUGGCGCUGUAAGUCGGGUGUGAAAUCCUGAGGCUUAACCUCGGAACUGCAUUCGAUACUGCGGCGCUUGAGGACUGGAGAGGAGACUGGAAUUCAUGGUGUAGCAGUGAAAUGCGUAGAGAUCAUGAGGAACACCAGUGGCGAAGGCGGCUCGCUGGACCGGAACUGACGCUGAGGCGCGAAAGCGUGGGGAGCAAACGGG
rnacentral:rRNA from 1 species